UAUCGAUGACAAAAUCUAGGGUCUAAAUUAUGAUUUAGGUACAAUUUAAGAUGAUUUAUGCUUUUUUGUACAUUUGUCUUCAAACUGGUGUAUAAGUGCUGGAUCAUCGUGCGUGUAUACACUCUUAGGAAAAUGAUUGGUAUUUUCUGAACAGUAGGUUGGCUCUACUGUCUUUCUUUUAGGGUUAUGAUUAUAAAUAAAAAUGGAGGAAUCGCAGAGAAAUUCCACUGACGAUAAUGUUAAAACUGCCGUCGUGCAGUCCCCAAUUAUUAUGAAGAUUGAUGGACCUGAAGAAACAAAUGAUAAAGAAUCUGAAGAAAACGACAAGAACACCGAAACAUUGAAAGCAGAUGAAUUCAAAAUGUGCAGUCCAACAUUUAGACCUACUUUGCCACUGUCAAACAAUCCAUUUGCUUCCCCACAAAAUAAAAUAUCAAAAGGUAUUCUAAAGCCAGCUCAGUUUAAUAUUAAAACCAACAAUACCACCUCGACACCGUUUGUAUUAAAGCCCAGUCAACUUAAUCCCUUUAAGAACUCUAGUGAUAAGACCAAUAGUGAAAAAUCAGAUAAUAGUGAUACACGAGUAAAUGGAGACAUGCCGAAGUUUGUGCCUUUGGUAGUACCUGAAAAAUCAACACAAAAAGUUACAGAAACAAAACCUCAACCCGUUGAAACGAAAAUCUCCAGUAAUUCUUUUGUAUUCGGACAGAACUUAAAAGAAAGGGUGGCAGAAACUGAAAAUAAAGAGGAAUCUAAGGCUUCAACAAGUUUAGGGGCCAAUGGUACUUCUGAAAUGUUGUUUAGCAGUGCUAUCAAGAGUGAACUUAAAGCCGAUCCAACAGAUUCUUCAAAAGAAAAAGAAAUGAAAUCAUUAAGCGAAUCAGCAAAAGAAUAUGAGGAAUCCAGAGCUAACAAACGAAAAUAUGAAGAAGUAGAAGUCAUAACUGGUGAAGAAAAUGAAAUUAAUAUCUUAAGCAUCUCCUGUAAAUUAUUCUCCUUUAAUAAAUCAUCUAGUAACUGGUUGGAGUUGGGCAGAGGGACUUUAAGGUUAAAUGACCUGAACGGGUACAACUUCGUUAAAAAUUGUGCUUUAGGGAGUCGAUUGGUUUUUAGAACAUCAGGAAGUUUGCGGGUCCUAUUGAAUACCAAAAUUUGGGCAGAAAUGGUAGUAGAAAAAGCAAACGAAAAAAGUAUUAGAGUUACAGCACUGGAUGCUAGUGGAGAAAUAAAAGUUUUUCUACUCAUGAGCAAUAUAGAAGACUCGAAUAGGCUGUAUUCACACCUUCAGACGAGGUUGGAAAGAGAGAUCGCCGCCCAGAAACGUAAAAAAACCGAACCAUCAUCCGAUUCUCCCACAAAAACCGAUUGAUUUCACUAUGCUACAUAUUUGUAAAAAAACAAAAAGGAUAAUAUUUCUAUUAUUGUGAUUUAAAUAGGUCUACACUGAAAAAACGUAUUUAUUAGCAGUGUACACAAGAAAAACACCAGAUUUUUAAAAUAGUUCAUACACUACGGGGAAGUGUGAUAUAAUAUAUUUACUAAUUCAGAGUAAAUGAUUGAAUAGGUUUAACAUUGUAGUUACUGGUAAAGAAAAGAACUAGACCAUUUUUUAAUUUUUUUCAUUUUUCAAUUAAUCAAAAAGUACAUACUUUUAUAGAUGAAAUUAGACUUCCAUAAUGUUGUACCUUAUCUUGUAUAUUUUUUUCCUAAAAUAAAUGAUUGUGACGAUGA
rnacentral:misc_RNA from 1 species